rnacentral:rRNA from 1 species
UACGGAGGGUGCAAGCGUUGUUCGGAAUCACUGGGCGUAAAGGGCGUGUAGGCGGUCCGCUAAGUCUGAUGUGAAAGCCCGGGGGCUCACCCCCGGAAGGGCAUUGGAAACUGGCGGACUCGAGUCCCGGAGAGGAAGGUGGAAUUCCCGGUGUAGCGGUGAAAUGCGUAGAUAUCGGGAGGAACAUCAGUGGCGAAGGCGGCCCUCUGGUCCAGUACUGACACUCAAGUGCGAAAGCGUGGGGAGCAAACAGG